rnacentral:lncRNA from 1 species
CAGGGGUGAGGAUUAUCAGUAUCUCUGUCUCUCACUUCCACAUCUUCCCCUACUGCAGGGUCUUCAAGAGCGAUAAGACCCAUGGAGCUGUCACCUCUGUGGCGUCAGAGCCUUGUUCUGUGAGGCCUCCUGAAGGACCUCCUGACCCUCUACCUGAGGCAGAUCGCUCUUUACAAGUAUAGCCACGGUGGUUUGCUUAGUUUGUUUCUCUUUUAUCAUAGUUUCCCUGUGAAGAGAUACCGUGAACAUGCUUCUUUAUUAUGAAAAGUUUUGUUUUCUUUUUUUUUUUUUUUAUUUCUCCUUGGGGACAGUCUUAGUAUGUAACCCAGGCUGGCCUCCGACUCCUGAUUCUCUUGCCUGGCUCCCAAGUGCUGGGAUUUCAGGCGUGUGGCAACAUAUCUGACUUGUUUCCAAACUUUUAAAGGAGCUUGCUGAGGGCCGAAAAAGCUCUUGCUAAACCCUUCGCUGUGAAUUUUCUUAGAGGUUUUUUUUCCCCUUCUCCAGCGGACUUUCUUCUUGCUGCUCCUUCAGCUAUGAAGUCCUAUUCCAGUUCUACCAACUGCUGGUUACUCAGGACCCACUUGGAAGUGCUCCUCAGAAUCGUCCUCCUCCACACGCGGGUUAAAAUUGCCCGGCGCUGCCCCCGUGGCCGUAUUGAUUUUUGCAACUGUCUCCUUUCGUCCUUGACAAGUCCUUUCACGACGUGGAUGAACCUCAAGCGUCUUCUUCCUGAUACAGUUCACUCACAUCUCAGGGACAGCACCCCCAGCCCAAGGAAGAUUCUAGAUGCAAUCUCCGAUGUUCUCAUCCCUCCAGAACUGUCUGUUCACUGAACCAAGGAGAGAGCUGGCUCUUCCUGAGGCGACAUGCCAGGCUUCCCACUGAGGAGGGACCGAGGAUUCAGCUUGAUCAAGGCUGUGACAGGAAAAAGCUCAGGGUCUGAGAGCACAGAGGAGGUAACAACACACAUGAGAAGAUUAGAGAAAUGAAACGAAAUCUGGGAAAGACACGAGAACGAUGAUUACCCCAUGAAAGUAGAAGGUCGGGGUGGGAGAAGAGGUUCCUUCAGAAAACGAGUAUGGUGCAGGUCCCGGGCAGAAGAAUCAGUCUUAGAGGUAACGAGAAGCACUUUGGGCAGCCUAGAGUUUAGUCCGUGGAGGAGACAAUACCGACAGUGAAGUUGGACAGUCAGACUUGUAAUCAUUCGAAGAUUGUGUUAAGGACAGUACCGGGAAGCCGUUGGAGGUUUUAAGCAGAAUUAUAUGACCAGAUUUACAGUUUUUAAUGAUAAUCCCAUCAGCUGUGCGAAUCUUAGGCAAUGGCAAAUGCAGGGAGAUUCGCUGAGGCUCUACAGCAGAAGGCUCAUUGAGACAGAACAGUGGCUUUAGUGGUGAAAAUGCAAAGAAAUGGAACAGCUUGAGGUGACAACUAGAAUCAUCUUUUAUUGUGUCAUUAAUGAGCUUGGACUUUGUUCUGAAGGGAUAAAAAAGGAAGCCAGGUAACAUUUUAACUGUGGGAUUGAUCCAUUCAGAUACGGAUUUUUUUUUUUUUUUUUACUUGAAAUCCAGCUCUGGACCUUGCACUUGCGAGGCAGGCGGCGGCACCACNNNNNNNNNNNNNNNNNNNNNNNNNNNNNNNNNNNNNNNNNNNNNNNNNNNNNNCCCUGCGUAGUUCAGGCUGGCUUUAAACUCACUCUGUAGUUAAAACUGGCCUUGAAUCUGCAGUGAUCCUCCAGCCUCAGCUUCCCCAGUGCUGGGAUUACAGGCGUGUACCACCACACCCGGUUCAGAUAUGGAUUUAUAAAUAGAGCGAUUGGCAAGGAGGUAAGACUGUCAGAACAGUGCACAGGUAAGAGGUGAGGCUUAAACCCCGCAGAACAACCUUCGCCGGGAAGCAGAGGAGACCGUGGAGAGGUUUCAGAGUCAGGCACCGAGCAGAGCAGUACAGCCCAGGUAGAAGCAGACGCCGCCGCAGACCCACAGAGGAGGCCGGGAGGGGGAGGGGCCGCGAGGCGCCGUGGGCGGGGCCAGGGCACGCA